UUAGGUAUGUACACAUUUGAAGUAUACACUAGUAUUUGCCAUAUACUAGUUAAACAGGAGCAGCAGAAUGCCGUCUGUGGAAGUCCGCGAAUCAUUUCGCCGACGAUACAUGAGUUGUUCACCACCUAUGUAUUAUUCCCACUAAAAAGGGAAAAAAGAAUAACUGAGGAGGCUUAAAGAAAUGUGUUCUUUGUAUUAACACAAUUUUAAAAUAAAUAUAUAUAAAUUCAUUUAUUUAAAUAAAUCAUCAUAUCAUAUAUACGCUAUAUACCGAACCUCUUGUAUAUGGCGUGUAUAUGAUAUACGAAUAACAUAAAGGUUUUUUGACUGAGGGGUACAGGGUAUUUUCCUGUCGGGCACAUUCGACUACAAAGUUCUUGUUUCGUUUUGUUCGACUUCAAUAUAGGAAUGGAGUUAAUAAUAUAAUUUAAAAAUCCCAAAAUAAAAUCCAGUAAAUCGCAAUUAGAUAAA